AGAUAUUCUAUUUUUGAGCCAAAAGAAGUGGCAGUAGUAAAUCCACAACUUUAGGAGGCUAAGAAUUUUGGUCAAAUAUAAAUCUUUUGUGUUUUUGUUUUUCUUUUUAAGGAGCUCUUGUUUGCAAAAUGUGUAUCUUCAUAGGAGUACCACUAUUCAAAGAAAAUUGCUCUGUUUUCCAUCUCUGGUAUGUUCAAACGUUGAUUAUCAAAUGGUUGCAGUCACAUAUAUGCACCAUCAUAGCCAAGACGACAAAUAAACACUAAUGCGAGACAUAUAUAUGUAUGAUAUAACACUGAAGGUGUUUGUGAGAAUGCCUCACUGAAACCAUUAAAUAAUCUGAAGAUUAAUUUUCACAUUCUUCAGGCACACAAAAGAGAAACUUUGAGGGCAUUCUUCUACUAUCUUACCUAAACUUGUUUGAAGGUGGUUCUUGAAAAUAUCGCACGGGCCUUGAACAGUGGAGCUUUACCGUUCAAUAAUCUAGAAUGAUAAAAAUUCCCCCCCAUGAUGUAAGUGAAGAAUUGUCUUCUGAUUUGAAUGCAAAAGUUCUUCCAAUUUCUCUUGACCUUAAUAGUAAUUACCUUCCCUUCUCUUCUUAAUAUUCAUAUUUUUCCUUUUUCGGUCAAACAGUAACUCUUUCGUUACUGUUUUGCGUUUUAUUUUUUUAGUUCUAUAACUCUUGCUUUUAUUGAUAAUUUAAAAUUGAUACGAAUAGGAAUGCCAAUUUGGUGGGCUAUUAUCUGUCGUUGACAUUUAGAGCUUACUUGUUAUUAGUGCAGACUAAGAUCUCCGUUUUUGCAACUCUACCAAUCUUUGCUUGCCAUCCUCCAUAUUGGUGAUGUUUGAAGAAAGAAAUUAUUAUUAUUAUGUAUUUAAUUUGGGACUUAGUUUCUUUCAUAUUGCAUUGUUUUCUUGUCCAUUUUUUCUCUAAGUUUGAAUCAAUUCCUGCUUUUAGAAUAUCUUGAUGCCUAAUUAGUUGUGUGAAAGAAUGUGUUUUUAUAAAGUAUUGAUUUUGGUUAUAUAGUUUAGGUGCUUGGUUAAAUGUUUCAAUGAAAGAUAUAUGAAAUAUACUUGUCAUCAUCUGAGCUGCUUUUAAUUUUCAUAUGUCAGCUUCUUUUUCCAACUAUAUAUGCAUAUAUAUCUCUGUUCUUAGCUUUACUGCUUCAACAUGAACUCAGGUAGUAAAUAAAAACUCUAGAGUAUAUAUUUUCUUCCUUGUCAUAACUUUGGAAAUCACUUAGUUUAUAUC